rnacentral:rRNA from 1 species
UACAGAGGGUGCAAGCGUUGUUCGGAAUUAUUGGGCGUAAAGCGCGUGUAGGCGGCUUGGCAAGUCAGAUGUGAAAGCCCUCGGCUUAACCGAGGAAGUGUGUCUGAAACUGCUGAGCUUGAGUGUCGGAGAGGAUGGCGGAAUUCCGCAAGUAGAGGUGAAAUUCGUAGAUAUGCGGAGGAACACCGGUGGCGAAGGCGGCCAUCUGGACGACUACUGACGCUGAGGCGCGAAAGCGUGGGGAGCAAACAGG